rnacentral:tRNA from 1 species
GGCCCCGUAGCUCAGCUGGAAGAGCAGGUCCGUCCUAAGGACACGGUCGGGAGUUCGAGUCUCUCCGGGGUCG